rnacentral:rRNA from 1 species
CAGCCGCCGCGGUAAUACGAAGGGUGCAAGCGUUAAUCGGAAUUACUGGGCGUAAAGCGUGCGUAGGCGGUUUGUUAAGUCUGCUGUGAAAUCCCCGGGCUCAACCUGGGAAUGGCAGUGGAUACUGGCAAGCUAGAGUGUGUCAGAGGAUGGUGGAAUUCCCGGUGUAGCGGUGAAAUGCGUAGAGAUCGGGAGGAACAUCAGCGGCGAAGGCGGCCAUCUGGGACAACACUGACGCUGAGGCACGAAAGCGUGGGGAGCAAACAGGAUUAGAUACCCCAGUAGUCCCUGUCUCUUAUAC